UGGAAAAUUAUAUUUAAAAAAAAAAAAGAAGUCAUCAUGUCUUGCACAGCAUAACCAACAAUUUGUACUGUCGAUAUCCAAAAUCAACUCAAUUACUUCAAAUAAGAAAUACCUUAAGCGUAAAAAUCUAUUACUUUCCACUAACAAACACCUUAAGCGUAAAAAUCUAUUACUUUUCAGCCAUUCAUUUUAGGGUUGGGAGAAAUUGCUUGGAUGUGCCCUAAAUUCUAUUCAUUUUAGGGUUCGGCGAAAUUGCCUGGAUUUUGCCCUAAAUUCAGUUUAUGCUAAUAAAAACUUGGCGACCCUUCAUCAUAGUGUUCGGGGUAAUUGCCUGGAUAUGCCCUAAAUUCUUUGCUUUGCGUAUAAGAAUGGCUGGAGGGGUGGACUGAGAAGGCAUUGGAUUUGCAGGCGAGUGGAGCAGAGAAGAGAGGAGGAUAGGAGGUGAUGUGAUGUAGAAGCAGGCUGUUAAGUGUGGGCGACUCGGUAAAAGACUGCUUCUGCUUCUGAUUGCUAUUCUUUUGCCUGAACCGCCCAUACCUGACGUCCUCCCUACGCAUCCCCUUUCUUUCCAAUAUCCUCUGCCUUCUCUCAGGUUUUUUUCGCUGACAGAACUGGUCUUACCUUUUAUAUGGAUGCACAUGAAGCGUACCAGAGGUCUUGUAAGAGUAAUUUUUAGUUUUUUGAUAGAUGAGUUCUAUUAUACUGUUGUUACUGGAAACACUUGAUAACCACUGAUUAUUUUGUUUAUAUUCUUCUUUUAUAAAUUUACACUUGUAUGUUAAAUGUUUUUUAAUUUUUCAGAUUUCUUCUGUUUGCGUUGUGUUAA